GCCGUUUUAACCUCCCACUGAGAGGAGUGUAAGCUCAGUACUGUUUCGACAAUCUCUGCACUUUUACUUUACUUUUGUUCGGUUUUUAAGCAUUAUUGGUUUAUAUAACACAUUUUUGACUGCGAAAAGACAUGUUCGGUGUGGAAAGGGGCAGGUCGUUUGGCAGAAGUCAGGAUAUCCGGGCUCCGCAUUGUUUUUUGAGCACCCCUGGACCAGGCACAAACGCAAGACCCAUCUAUGUGUCUUUCGUCAGCAAAGCGACCUUAUGGGAACGAGGUCUAUGCACCAGUGUUCACAAUGACCACUCUGUCUUAGAUCAUGGUCCUCGACUGUGUUCCCGCUUCCUGUCCCACAUGAAAGCCUGCCCCAAAGACUUAAAACCUCCAUGUUUUCUGAGUUCCAAGUCCAAACCUCGACCAACAUGUGAAGAGAAGCUGUAUGCACAUGCUCACACUUCCAGCAAGACGCAUAAACCUGACGGGCUCAAGGAGAAAAGGAGAUAUGGUGACUUCCAUCAAGAUCCAGGGGCAAGACAAUCUGCCGCUGCUGCCGCCGUUGCUCCUUGUCAUAGUUCAACUACUCCCCUGCCCAAGAUUAAACAAAAACCUAGUAGCAGAAUUUCCCCUGGCUCUGAAAGACCUCAGGAUUAUGAUGUGUCAACAGCUCUCCCAUUUAUACAGACAGUUUCCUCUGCUGUGGAAGACGCUGCGUUUAAGAAAGCUGAUGCAUCUUUAUUCAACAUAAAUAACACAAACUCAUUUAGAAAAGAUUAUCCCACUGAACAGGAGCCACUACAAUCCCCCGCCAGCCUUUGCCAGAGCUCUCUGUCCGACCUCAGUUGUCGCACCAGCCCGUUCAACAGCAGUCUGGACCUUAGUGGCCGAAGCAGCAUCCUGUCCGACAAAAGCUUUGAGUGGUGCACCACUGCAGCCUGUGGCUCCUCUGAGGUGAGCUGUAGUGAGUCUCAGGUCUUUGAUGAACUGGAUGCUAUUGCGCCUUUAUCAGCUUCCUCUCCCUCUAUGGACCAGCUCUCUGAGUCUUCAUACUCUGCUUCCAAAGAUACAGAUGUCUCUCCUGGACUGGCAGCACUCACCGUUUGCUGUGACUCUGGAAAUCUGGGCUCUCUGUCUCGUGUGCAGCUCCUUUUAUUGAACCGGCAAGACCCUGACGCUCAAAGUCCAUUCAGUUUGGAUGAAGACCUGUCAUGUCUGGACAGCUAUGCUGAUUUUGACAUGAACAAUGGUCUUUGGAGGCCCCUCACAGCUGGCAGUAUCUCUGAAAAGUGCGACUCUAUAAGGAAAGCUCAUCAAAACAAACCGGAUGACUUAGAAGACGGUUCUGGCUCCCCUUGUUCAUGGAUCAUUGACCCAAGCCCUUUGAACAACAUGUUGAAAUCCUCCGACUCACAGUGCAACUUCUGCCUUGGAUCUUCGGAGGAUGAGGGGGUUAUAUUGUCCAAUUAUUCGAGGUUAAAUGAAGAGGAUGUAGAAACAUGUUCGACAAUGAAAAGAAUUGAAGAAGACCAAUUCAGGAAGAGGGAGGAGAGAAAAACAAAGGUGCUCAAAAUGCUUUCCAAACUGCAGGACAAUUUACCUCACCGGCCAGCAAGUUGCAAAGGUCACUCCAAUUUUGAAGACUUUGACUUUUUGGCCAAAUACUGCAUUUUUAAUCAGGAGAAACUGGCUGAAUACAAACAAGCUUUUGAAGAAGAGGACACUGAUGGGGAUGGCUACAUUUCUUGUCUUCAAGUUCUGUGUGCCUUGAAAAGCAUCAUUCCUCCAGAGCUGCUUUCUGAAGAGGAAGAGAUCUAUGUCUAUAGGAUUCUGGAGAUGGUGGACUUCAGGGUGACUGAUGGGCUUGUGGACCUCAGGCUGUUUGCAGUCAUUGCCAGUCUUGCCCAAAAGAUUGCCACCAUGGAUGAGUUUAUGCGCUCCCUAAUCAGCAGUAUAGACUUUCGCUCUCUGGAAGUAAAGCUCUUCAAGGCGAAGAAGCUGUUCCUUUGCCUCCUGGAGGAGCAGGCAAGUGACGGGAUGCCCCAACAAAAGUAUAUUAGUCCAGAACAACUGAUUCUAGAGCUUAAGGCCGGGGGCAUCUGUCUAGAGCAGGAGGCUGCCAUCAGAAUGGAGCUGCAGCAUAUUCCCCCUUUAGAUCUGCUGGACUUUCUAGCCCAUUUGCCUCUGUUUAUGCUCAUACACAGGUCUGUCAUUGCCAACCCUUUAGAUGAUUUCAGCCACUUAUGACACUAAAUAUCCCCACAACUAUCCUGCAUCUCAGAACCGCAACUGCAGCUCUGGAGCAUAUGUUGCUCACAAAUGUCUGACAGAAAUCAUUCUUUGACGGGUGAGAAAGUACUGCUGAAGAGCUGUCUAUGGUCCUGAAAUGACUUCACUGUGACAUGUGGAACACUCAACAUUUUACAGCAUGAAGAACUGCUGUCUCUGAACGAGAAGGGAAUUGUCAUAUUUUACCAAUUAGAUGUAUAUGUUGACAAUGAAGAUCCACACUGGCAAAUCAUAUUUAAUUCUCAGAGUUCAAGUUCAACUCUUUGUUUUGUUUCAGCUUUGCUAACUGGGUAUGGCUAUAAGACUAUCCUAUGGCUUGUUGUCAAUAGAUGGUAUGCAUGUGUUAUUUUCAUUCUAAACAGAACUCAUUCUGGACUGAAUGUGAAAACAAAUAAUAAAAAUUACUCUAAGUUGACAGUCAUUUGGCUUCAUAUGCGGUUGCCUCAAUAGAAGGAGCCCUAAUGCAUCAGCAGCCAAAAAUGAUGUUUGAUCUAUUAGAUCGUUGGGGGAUCGAGGAAUCCCCCAAUACACAUUUCAAUGUUUGUCUUUGCAUGUCUGACUUGUGUUGGGAAUUUGUUUGUAAAAGAAAGUUACUAAGCCCAUAGAGCACCAAAAACAUUUGUUGAUGUUGCAGCAGGAAUGGAAUCAAAAAACUAUAAUGGUGAUUUAGAAAAGUACCAAGGUGUUCAAUGUGCGUUAUGUAAUCGGGCCUUUUGUUAAAAACAAAAUAGCUUUGCUGAAGGCAAACGAAAGGCUAUUAGCUUAAAUUUCGCGUAGGCCUCAAGAUUUACUACCAAUCAAAUGAUUAGGCCAACUACUGCCC
ensembl:lncRNA